CCCCCCGCCAGGAAAUUACGAGCCAUCUUAAAACCCAAAGGACUUGACGGUGCCCCAUCCACCUAGAGGAGCCUGUUCUAUAAUCGAUACCCCCCGAUACACCUCACCACCCCUUGCCCACAGUCUGUAUACCUCCGUCGCAAGCUUACCAUGUAAACGCCAGUAAGCUAAAAGAUAUUACCAUCAACACGUCAGGUCAAGGUGCAACUAACGGGAUGGAAAGAAAUGGGCUACAAUUUCUAUAAUAGAAUAUACAAAAACCUACAUGCAACAUAGCCUCAAGGCGGAUUUAGUAGUAAAAAGAAAACAGAAUAUCCUUUUUAAUCAGGCACUGAGGCGCGUACACACCGCCCGUCACCCUCUUCAAAUAAUUAUUCAUAAGAAGAGGCAAGUCGUAACACGGUAAGCGUACUGGAAGGUGCGCUUGGAUAACCAAAAUGUAGCUUACUUUAAAGCACUUCGCUUACACCAAAGAGAUGUCUAAACUUAGACCAUUUUGAGCCCCAACUCUAGCCCCCCACCUUAUUUUCCCCUCCUAAACCCAAUAAAACAUUUUUACAAUUCAGUAGAGGCGAUCAAAAAAUAAGUAAGAGCCAUAGAUACAGUACCGUAAGGGAAAUAUGAAAUAUUACUUAAAGCAUAAAAUAGCAAAGACUAAAUCUUGUACCUUUUGCAUCAUGGUCUAGCCAGUAUAAUCAAGCAAAACGCACUUACAGUUUGACACCCCGAAACUAAGCGAGCUACUUUAGAACAGCAUAUAGCGCCAACCCAUCCAUAUUGCAAAAUGGUGGGAAGAUUUUAAAGUAGAGGUGACACACCUACCGAGCCUAGAGAUAGCUGGUUAUUCAGAAAAAGGAUUUUAGUCCUACCUUAAGCCCAACUAGCAAUUACUAGACACCCCCCAAUGCUUAAAAGUCAUUCAAAUAAGGUUCAGCCUAUUUGAACAAGGAAACAGCCUAACAUCUUGGGUACUAAUAUAUAACAUGACUAAGUAGGCCUAAGAGCAGCCAACUUCCAAAAAGCGUCCAAGCUUCCCCGUAACAAUUCUUUAUACCACCACUUUUUAACAACCCACAACCACCACUGAAUGAUCUUAUAUUUAUAUAGGAAACAUAAUGCUAGAACUAGUAAUAAGAACUGAAAUUCUCUAAAAUGUAAAUGUGAGCCAAAAUGGACUGCCUUUGGCACUUACCCGCCCAUAUUAAUGUAGCCACCCCAACAAGAAAAUUCUACAACACUUAACGUCAACCUCACACUAGAACAUCUCUGGAAAGAUUAAAAGGGGGGGAAGGAACUCGGCAAAUAUCAGCCCCGCCUGUUUACCAAAAACAUCGCCUCUUGUAAAACAUAAGAGGUCCGACCUGCCCAGUGACACUAGUUAAACGGCCGCGGUACCCUAACCGUGCAAAGGUAGCACAAUCACUUGUUCUUUAAAUCAGGACUAGUAUGAACGGCCACACGAGGGCUAUACUGUCUCCCCCCCCCAAUCAAUGAAACUGAUCUACCCGUGAAGAAGCGGGCAUAUCCUAAUAAGACGAGAAGACCCCAUGGAACUUAAAACUCGUAUCACUGCCACAACACACCACAUUAAGCAACAUGAAUACUAGUCUUUCGGCUGGGGCGACCACGGAGAAAAACUAAACCUCCACGAUGAAAGGCAACCCCUAAUCUUAGACCUACCGCUCCAAGAAUCAAUAAAUUGACCCUUUGACCCAACACUUGAUCAACGAACCAAGCUACCCUGGGGAUAACAGCGCAAUCCAUUUCAAGAGACCCCAUCGACAAAUGGGCUUACGACCUCGAUGUUGGAUCAGGGUACCCAAGUGGUGCAGCCGCU
rnacentral:misc_RNA from 1 species